rnacentral:rRNA from 1 species
GGAGGAUCCGAGCAUUAUCCGGAUUUAUUGGGUUUAAAGGGUGCGUAGGCGGCUUUUUAAGUCAGGGGUGAAAGACGGUAGCUCAACUAUCGCAGUGCCCUUGAUACUGAAGAGCUUGAAUGUACUAGAGGUAGGCGGAAUGUGACAAGUAGCGGUGAAAUGCAUAGAUAUGUCACAGAACACCAAUUGCGAAGGCAGCUUACUAUGGUAUGAUUGACGCUGAGGCACGAAAGCGUGGGGAUCAAACAGGAUUAGAUACCCUGGUAGUCCACGCCCUAAACGAUGAAUACUCGAUGUUAGCGAUAUACAGUUAGCGUCAAAGCGAAAGCGUUAAGUAUUCCACCUGGGGAGUACGCCCGCAAGGGUG